UGGGGAAUUUUGGACAAUGGGGGAAACCCUGAUCCAGCCAUCCCGCGUGUGCGAUGAAGGCCUUCGGGUUGUAAAGCACUUUUGGCAGGAAAGAAACGUCAUGGGUUAAUACCCCGUGAAACUGACGGUACCUGCAGAAUAAGCACCGGCUAACUACGUGCCAGCAGCCGCGGUAAUACGUAGGGUGCAAGCGUUAAUCGGAAUUACUGGGCGUAAAGCGUGCGCAGGCGGUUCGGAAAGAAAGAUGUGAAAUCCCAGAACUCAACUUUGGAACUGUAUUUUUAACACCCUGGCUAGAGUGUGUCAGAGGGGGGUGGAAUUCCGCGUGUAGAAGUGAAAUGCGUAGAUAUGCGGAGGAACACCGAUGGCGAAGGCAGCCGCCUGGGAAAGCACUGACGCUAAUGCACGAAAGCGUGGGGAGCAAACAGG
rnacentral:rRNA from 1 species